GCCUGGGUGGCUCAGUCGGUUGAGCAUCCGACUUCAGCUCAGGUCAUGAUCUCACGGUUUGUGAGUUCGAGCCCCAUGUCAGGCU
rnacentral:tRNA from 1 species